rnacentral:rRNA from 1 species
UACAGAGGUCUCAAGCGUUGUUCGGAUUCAUUGGGCGUAAAGGGUGUGUAGGUGGCGCCGUAAGUCGGGUGUGAAAUUUCGGAGCUUAACUCCGAAACUGCAUUCGAUACUGCGGUGCUUGAGGACUGGAGAGGAGACUGGAAUUCAUGGUUUAGCAGUGAAAUGCGUAGAGAUCAUGAGGAAGACCAGUGGCGAAGGCGGGUCUCUGGACAGUUCCUGACACUGAGACACGAAGGCCAAGGGAGCAAACGGG